GUGCUUACUUCGGCAGCACACAUACUAAAAUUGGAAUGAUAUAGAGAAGAUUAGCAUGGCUCCUGCAUAAGGACAACACACAUAAAAAUAAAUAAAACCUAAAAUAA